UUCGGUGGUUUACCACUGUAAUGAGGGGGAUUUCGGUCCCUUCUCUCCUUCCUUGUCUUCUGCGUACCCAAGUUUCCUUGGUAGGCUUGCCUGCCAAUUGGACAACCUAUAACCUUUUUAAUUUUAAAUCAGCGUCAGUAACAAAUUAAUAAUUACAACUUUCAACAACGGAUCUCUUGGUUCU
rnacentral:misc_RNA from 1 species